rnacentral:rRNA from 1 species
CCGCACGGAGUAUUUCCAGCGGACCAAAUUGAGAGCUUGCUCUGAUUUGGUCAGCGGCGGACGGGUGAGUAACACGUGGGCAACCUGCCCGCAAGACCGGGAUAACUCCGGGAAACCGGAGCUAAUACCGGAUAACACCGAAGACCGCAUGGUCUUUGGUUGAAAGGCGGCCUUUGGCUGUCACUUGCGGAUGGGCCCGCGGCGCAUUAGCUAGUUGGUGAGGUAACGGCUCACCAAGGCGACGAUGCGUAGCCGGCCUGAGAGGGUGACCGGCCACACUGGGACUGAGACACGGCCCAGACUCCUACGGGAGGCAGCAGUAGGGAAUCUUCCGCAAUGGGCGAAAGCCUGACGGAGCGACGCCGCGUGAGCGAAGAAGGCCUUCGGGUCGUAAAGCUCUGUUGUGAGGGACGAAGGAGCGCCGUUCGAAGAGGGCGGCGCGGUGACGGUACCUCACGAGGAAGCCCCGGCUAACUACGUGCCAGCAGCCGCGGUAAUACGUAGGGGGCGAGCGUUGUCCGGAAUUAUUGGGCGUAAAGCGCGCGCAGGCGGUCCCUUAAGUCUGAUGUGAAAGCCCACGGCUCAACCGUGGAGGGUCAUUGGAAACUGGGGGACUUGAGUGCAGGAGAGGAGAGCGGAAUUCCACGUGUAGCGGUGAAAUGCGUAGAGAUGUGGAGGAACACCAGUGGCGAAGGCGGCUCUCUGGCCUGCAACUGACGCUGAGGCGCGAA